rnacentral:rRNA from 1 species
CAGCAGCCGCGGGAAAACGGAGGGAGCUAGCGUUAUUCGGAAUUACUGGGCGUAAAGCGCACGUAGGCGGCUUUGUAAGUAAGAGGUGAAAGCCCGGAGCUCAACUCCGGAACUGCCUUUUAGACUGCAUCGCUUGAAUCCAGGAGAGGUGAGUGGAAUUCCGAGUGUAGAGGUGAAAUUCGUAGAUAUUCGGAAGAACACCAGUGGCGAAGGCGGCUCACUGGACUGGUAUUGACGCUGAGGUGCGAAAGCGUGGGGAGCAAACAGGAUUAGAUACCCCCGUAGUCCCUGUCUCUUAUAC